rnacentral:rRNA from 1 species
GUGAGGAAUAUUGCGCAAUGGGGGAAACCCUGACGCAGCGACGCCGCGUGGAGGACGAAGGCCUUCGGGUUGUAAACUCCUGUCAGUUGGGAAGAGAACGGACGGUACCAACUGAGGAAGCUUCGGCUAACUACGUGCCAGCAGCCGCGGUAAGACGUAGGGAGCAAGCGUUGUCCGGAAUUACUGGGCGUAAAGAGCUCGUAGGCGGGAGCGUAAGUCUGAAAUGAAAUUCCAAGGCUCAACUUUGGGGCUAUUUUAGAUACUGCGUUUCUUGAGGGUAUCAGAGGAGUGUAGAAUUCCCGGUGUAGCGGUGAAAUGCGUAGAUAUCGGGAGGAAUACCAGUGGCGAAGGCGACACUCUGGGAUAUUCCUGACGCUGAGGAGCGAAAGCGUGGGGAGCAAACGGG